GGUUAACCGUAUAGGGGAGCCGUAGAGAAAUCGAGUCUUAAUAGGGCGUUUAGUUGCUGGGUAUAGACCCGAAACCAGGCGAUCUAUCCAUGAGCAGGUUGAAGGUUGGGUAACACUAACUGGAGGACCGAACCCACUGUCGUUGAAAAGCCAGGGGAUGACUUGUGGAUAGGGGUGAAAGGCUAAUCAAGCCUGGUGAUAGCUGGUUCUCCCCGAAAGCUAUUUAGGUAGCGCCUCGGACGAAUACCAUAGGGGGUAGAGCACUGUUUCGGCUAGGGGGUCAUCCCGACUUACCAAACCGAUGCAAACUCCGAAUACCUAUGAGUACUAUCCGGGAGACAGACUGCGGGUGCUAACGUCCGUAGUCAAGAGGAAAACAAUCCAGACCGCCAGCUAAGGCCCCAAAAUCAUAGUUAAGUGGGAAACGAUGUGGGAAGGCAUAGACAGCUAGGAGGUUGGCUUAGAAGCAGCCACCCUUUAAAGAAAGCGUAAUAGCUCACUAGUCGAGUCGGCCUGCGCGGAAGAUGUAACGGGGCUAAAACUAUGUGCCGAAGCUGCGGA
rnacentral:rRNA from 2 species